AGUGAACGCUGGCGGUAGGCCUAACACAUGCAAGUCGAACGGCAGCACAGUAAGAGCUUGCUCUUACGGGUGGCGAGUGGCGGACGGGUGAGGAAUACAUCGGAAUCUACUUUUUCGUGGGGGAUAACGUAGGGAAACUUACGCUAAUACCGCAUACGACCUACGGGUGAAAGCAGGGGAUCUUCGGACCUUUCGCGAUUGACUGAGCCGAUGUCGGAUUAGCUAGUUGGCGGGGUAAAGGCCCACCAAGGCGACGAUCCGUAGCUGGUCUGAGAGGAUGAGCAGCAACACUGGAACUGAGACACGGUACAGAAUCCUACGGGAGGAAGCAGUGGGGAAUAUUGGACAAUGGGCGAAAGCCUGAUACAGCCAUACCGCGUGGGUGAAGAAGGCCUUCGGGUUGUAAAGCCCUUUUGUUGGGAAAGAAAAGCAGCAGGUUAAUACCCCGCUGUUCUGACGGUACCCAAAGAAUAAGCACCGGCUAACUUCGUG
rnacentral:rRNA from 1 species